rnacentral:rRNA from 1 species
UCAGGCCUAACACAUGCAAGUCGAACGAAGUAGCAAUACUUAGUGGCAGACGGGUGAGUAACAUGUAGGUAUCUACCCUUUGGCCUGGAAUAACACGAGGAAACUUGUGCUAAUACCGGAUAAGUCUUUACGGAGAAAGCUUUAUGCACCAUUGGAUGAGCCUGCACUUGAUUAGUUUGUUGGUGGGGUAAUGGCCUACCAAGACUGUGAUCAAUAGCUGAUUUGAGAGGAUGAUCAGCCACAUUGGGACUGAGACACGGCCCAAACUCCUACGGGAGGCAGCAGUGGGGAAUCUUGCACAAUGGAGGAAACUCUGAUGCAGCGAUGCCGCGUGAGUGAAGAAGGCCUUUGGGUUGUAAAGCUCUUUCGUCGGGGAAGAAAAUGACUGUACCCGAAUAAGAAGGUCCGGCUAACUUCGUGCCAGCAGCCGCGGUAAUACGAAGGGACCUAGCGUAGUUCGGAAUUACUGGGCUUAAAGAGUUCGUAGGUGGUUGAAAAAGUUAGUGGCGAAAUCCCAGAGCUUAACUCUGGAACUGCCAUUAAAACUUUUCAGCUAGAGUAUGAUAGAGGAAAGCAGAAUUUCUAGUGUAGAGGUGAAAUUCGUAGAUAUUAGAAAGAAUACCAAUUGCGAAGGCAGCUUUCUGGAUCAUUACUGACGCUGAGGAACGAAAGCAUGGGUAGCGAAGAGGAUUAGAUACCC